rnacentral:rRNA from 1 species
GGGUUGUGAGGUUAAGCGACUAAGCGUACACGGUGGAUGCCCUGGCAGUCAGAGGCGAUGAAGGGCGUGCUAAUCUGCGAUAAGCGCCGGUAAGGUGAUAUGAACCGUUAUAACCGGCGAUACCCGAAUGGGGAAACCCAGUGUGAUUCGUCACACUAUCAUUAACUGAAUCCAUAGGUUAAUGAGGCGAACCGGGGGAACUGAAACAUCUAAGUACCCCGAGGAAAAGAAAUCAACCGAGAUUCCCCCAGUAGCGGCGAGCGAACGGGGAGGAGCCCAGAGCCUGAAUCAGCAUGUGUGUUAGUGGAAGCGUCUGGAAAGGCGCGCGAUACAGGGUGACAGCCCCGUACACAAAAGCGCAUGUGCUGUGAGCUCGAUGAGUAGGGCGGGACACGUGGUAUCCUGUCUGAAUAUGGGGGGACCAUCCUCCAAGGCUAAAUACUCCUGACUGACCGAUAGUGAACCAGUACCGUGAGGGAAAGGCGAAAAGAACCCCGGCGAGGGGAGUGAAAAAGAACCUGAAACCGUGUACGUACAAGCAGUGGGAGCACCCUUCGGGGUGUGACUGCGUACCUUUUGUAUAAUGGGUCAGCGACUUAUAUUCUGUAGCAAGGUUAACCGUAUAGGGAGCCGGAGGAAACCGAGUCUUAAUUGGGCGUUAAGUUGCAGGGUAUAGACCCGAAACCCGGUGAUCUAGCCAUGGGCAGGUUGAAGGUUGGGUAACACUAACUGGAGGACCGAACCGACUAAUGUUGAAAAAUUAGCGGAUGACCUGUGGCUGGGGGUGAAAGGCCAAUCAAACCGGGAGAUAGCUGGUUCUCCCCGAAAGCUAUUUAGGUAGCGCCUCGUGAAUUCAUCUCCGGGGGUAGAGCACUGUUUCGGCUAGGGGGCCAUCCCGGCUUACCAACCCGAUGCAAACUGCGAAUACCGGAGAAUGUUAUCACGGGAGACACACGGCGGUGCUAACGUCCGUCGUGAAGAGGGAAACAACCCAGACCGCCAGCUAAGGUCCCAAAGUCAUGGUUAAGUGGGAAACGAUGUGGGAAGGCCCAGACAGCGGGAUGUUGGCUUAGAAGCAGCCAUCAUUUAAAGAAAGCGUAAUAGCUCACUGGUCGAGUCGGCCUGCGCGGAAGAUGUAACGGGGCUAAACCAUGCACCGAAGCUGCGGCAGCGAACGUAUCACCCAAGACAACUUUACGGAGUUGACGAUUGACGGAGCGAAGCGACGUCAAAGCGUUCAUUAAAGUCGAGUUGGCUUAGGGAUACGUUCGUUGGGUAGGGGAGCGUUCUGUAAGCCUGUGAAGGUGUGUCGUGAGGCAUGCUGGAGGUAUCAGAAGUGCGAAUGCUGACAUAAGUAACGAUAAAGCGGGUGAAAAGCCCGCUCGCCGGAAGACCAAGGGUUCCUGUCCAACGUUAAUCGGGGCAGGGUGAGUCGACCUAAGGCGAGGCCGAAAGGCGUAGUCGAUGGGAAACGGGUUAAUAUUCCCGUACUUGGUGUUACUGCGAAGGGGACGGAGAUGGCUAUGUUGGCCGGGCGACGGUUGUCCCGGUUUAAGCGUGUAGGUGUGUGUUCCAGGUAAAUCCGGUUCACUUUAACACUGAGGCGUGACGACGAGGCACUACGGUGCUGAAGCAACAAAUGCCCUGCUUCCAGGAAAAGCCUCUAAGCAUCAGGUAACACGAAAUCGUACCCCAAACCGACACAGGUGGUCAGGUAGAGAAUACCAAGGCGCUUGAGAGAACUCGGGUGAAGGAACUAGGCAAAAUGGUGCCGUAACUUCGGGAGAAGGCACGCUGACACGUAGGUGAAGUGAUUUACUCAUGGAGCUGAAGUCAGUCGAAGAUACCAGCUGGCUGCAACUGUUUAUUAAAAACACAGCACUGUGCAAACACGAAAGUGGACGUAUACGGUGUGACGCCUGCCCGGUGCCGGAAGGUUAAUUGAUGGGGUCAGCGUAAGCGAAGCUCCUGAUCGAAGCCCCGGUAAACGGCGGCCGUAACUAUAACGGUCCUAAGGUAGCGAAAUUCCUUGUCGGGUAAGUUCCGACCUGCACGAAUGGCGUAAUGAUGGCCAGGCUGUCUCCACCCGAGACUCAGUGAAAUUGAACUCGCUGUGAAGAUGCAGUGUACCCGCGGCAAGACGGAAAGACCCCGUGAACCUUUACUAUAGCUUGACACUGAACAUUGAGCCUUGAUGUGUAGGAUAGGUGGGAGGCUUUGAAGUGUGGACGCCAGUCUGCAUGGAGCCGACCUUGAAAUACCACCCUUUAAUGUUUGAUGUUCUAACGUGGACCCGUAAUCCGGGUUGCGGACAGUGUCUGGUGGGUAGUUUGACUGGGGCGGUCUCCUCCUAAAGAGUAACGGAGGAGCACGAAGGUUGGCUAAUCCUGGUCGGACAUCAGGAGGUUAGUGCAAUGGCAUAAGCCAGCUUGACUGCGAGCGUGACGGCGCGAGCAGGUGCGAAAGCAGGUCAUAGUGAUCCGGUGGUUCUGAAUGGAAGGGCCAUCGCUCAACGGAUAAAAGGUACUCCGGGGAUAACAGGCUGAUACCGCCCAAGAGUUCAUAUCGACGGCGGUGUUUGGCACCUCGAUGUCGGCUCAUCACAUCCUGGGGCUGAAGUAGGUCCCAAGGGUAUGGCUGUUCGCCAUUUAAAGUGGUACGCGAGCUGGGUUUAGAACGUCGUGAGACAGUUCGGUCCCUAUCUGCCGUGGGCGCUGGAGAACUGAGGGGGGCUGCUCCUAGUACGAGAGGACCGGAGUGGACGCAUCACUGGUGUUCGGGUUGUCAUGCCAAUGGCACUGCCCGGUAGCUAAAUGCGGAAGAGAUAAGUGCUGAAAGCAUCUAAGCACGAAACUUGCCCCGAGAUGAGUUCUCCCUGAGACUUAGAGUCUCCUGAAGGAACGUUGAAGACGACGACGUUGAUAGGCCGGGUGUGUAAGCGCAGCGAUGCGUUGAGCUAACCGGUACUAAUGAACCGUGAGGCUUAACCUUACAACGCCGAAG